CUUAAAUAGCCGAUUUUAAAAGUGAUACUUUUAAAUUUGGCUAUUUGAUAGUAGCACUUUUAAAAUCGGCUCUUCAAG
rnacentral:miRNA from 1 species